GUUAUGUAUUUUCAGCAUUUCUGCCUUUAGCAAAUUUCAUUCAGAGCAUUCUGCAAACAUCUCCAUGACUUACUAGGUAGAAUGUCUCUUCUCCCAUGUGAUAGACACCAUUAUUUGCACGGCAGAGGAAAUCAUGUUUUGCAAAUUUACGAGAAGCAGACCACAAAACCCACACAUCUCAACAGAUCCUCAAUCGAACCCGUGGGGGCUCGGUGUGUUCUUUUUCAUCACAGCCUAAAGACAGUGGUGUGAACUGAAGACUUCUGGUGUCUUUACUGUGGACAACCAAGCCAUUGGAAAAGGAGUCAAAACUACAGUCCUCUGCCCUGCCAGAAGAUGAACACUACUCGUCAAAGUGACCCCUAUUUUACUUACUAAAGACCCCACAGUGAUGCUGGGAAUUUGGAUUUGCCAAAGAGACGCCAUAAAGUGCUUCCUUCCAUGAAAAGGGAAGCCGUGAAAUUCUGUUAUUUCUUCCCAUUUGGCUCCAAAUUGCACCCCAGCAGAACUCUCCAGGAUCUCUUCGAUCUCCACCGGGGCCUCUGAACGGGGGCGGCUGCAAUGAGGAUGCGGUCCCUCGGAAAAGUGCUUGUAUAAUCCAGAAGGGCAGACGGGACCAGAGACAGGAGAAGAUAACUGAUUUGAAAAUGCUUCCUCCAUUGUAUCUCUGGACUAUUGGCUAACUUGAAAAAUAGAAACCUGUGAUUGGGCAUCCUUCUUAUUCUUCUCAGAACCCACUCACCCCCAGUCAUAUCAAAGGACUGGAAUACUAAACUCAAAGGCUUCCUUAGAGGUUCACUGUGUCACUACCUCAAUGAAUGUUUACGAGACCAGACAGCAGUACUUAAUAAGCACCUAUUAUGCACCAGGCACUGUCUUGGCUGUUGAGUAUAUGGAGGUGAAAGAGACAAAAUCUUUGUCUUCAGUAAGCUUACCUUUACUGAAGAGAGACAGGAAACAAACAAAGUAUCACAAGUGCAACGAAGGAAAUAAAAGAGUCUAAUGUGACCCAUCUGAGCUGAAAGCUAAAUUAGAAAGAGGAAGGGGCUGUUCAAAGGUUGGGUGGAAUCUUUUGAGAAAGGAAGAACAGCAUAUGCAGACCUUGACAUGGACAUCUAUCUGGCUGGGGUUCAAGAUCAUGUGGCUGGAGAGGUCCCACAAGGGGAGCGAGGAGAUGAAGAAGCAUGCUUUCUCAAGCUCGAGCCAGUAGUAAGCCACUGGAGCCUCUUCUUUGGUGGCCAAUCUCAACCCCACCACCACUCUCUCAACUUUGGAAUGCUUCACCCUCCAACCACCUCAGCUUUGACUGUGUCCUUGGUCCCCGCUCUUCAGGCCCUGCCACCAUGGCUACCACAAAGAAAAGGAAAUGGAAGAAAAUCAGUAAAUAUCUUGAAAGAAAAUAAUAAAGACAGAG